AUGCAGCAAUUUGACUCCAACACUCUGAACUUCAGCAAGGUUACUGAAUUGUGUGACUUCAGAUCAUAUUAUGUUCUCAUCUUAUGCUAUCUGGGGGAAUCAUUACUGAAAUGGCAACCAUCAUCCAACAGGCUUGCUCAUUUGUGUCUGUGUCUGCAUUUCUUCAAAACCCUUGAGGAGGGAAUUAAAGAGUGCUCCAAGGCUUAUGAACUAGGUAAUCAGGAAAAAUGCAUACAUUACCUACUACAGAAGAAAAAGAAGCACCGAGCAGAUUUAUUAGGGAGGCCUGUUGUAAUGUAAAAAUAAAAAAGAGUGAAAGAAAUAAAAUGCUGAAUUC
rnacentral:lncRNA from 1 species